GCCUGGGUGGCUCAGUCGGUUGGGCGUCUGACUUAGGCUCAGGUCAUGAUCUUGUGGUUUGUGGGCUCAAGCCCUGUGUCAGGCU
rnacentral:tRNA from 1 species